rnacentral:rRNA from 1 species
UACGUAGGAGGCGAGCGUUGUCCGGAAUUACUGGGCGUAAAGAGCGCGUAGGCGGCGCGGUACGACCGCUGUGAAAGCCCCCAGCUCAACUGGGGAGGGUCAGCGGUAACGGCCGUGCUUUGAGUGCAGGAGAGGGAAGUGGAACUCCGGGAGUAGCGGUGAAAUGCGUAGAGACCCGGAGGAACACCAGUGGCGAAGGCGGCUUCCUGGUCUGCGACUGACGCUGAGGCGCGAAAGCUAGGGGAGCAAACAGG